rnacentral:lncRNA from 1 species
AUUAUUUCCCUGAAUAACUCCAACUGCUCUUCUAACUUGAGUAAUCUCAACUGAAAAUAAAUCGAGCCCACUUUUAACAAUUAAAUUGUAAACAUGAUAUGCACACCUAACAUGAAAAAUAUCAUCAAGAGGUGGUUGCAAAUUCAAUUUUGAAACUGAAACUGCAGCAUUAUUGUUUGAAGCAUUAUCAAAAGACAUACACAAAACUUUUU